UUCAGUUGCAACGAUCGCGUGCAUCGGCUCCAUUAGAGAAUCAUUGUCGCUCCCCUCAAGUAAACUCUUACGAAAGACGAUCAAGACUACGAUCACCUUUCUUCUUCGUCUUCUUCAUCAUCUUCUCAUCAUUUCUUCGAAGUUUAUGGACUGCGUUCAAGGUCGACACGUUUCAUCGAUCGCAAUUAACUCAUUUGACAUACAAGGGCGCAAACUUGCCAUUCGGCCGAAGCUCCUCUUUCCUUGAUUCGAGAAACACGAAUGGGGUUGCAUCUAUAGUCGUUGCGAAACUAACGAAGAGUAGCUUCGUUGAGAACAAGUCAAGUUGGACGCCGUGAAAUUUAUCUAACAAUUUCCAUCGUUGGCCGUACACAAGGAUUCUGACAAGAAGAAGAAGAACAAGAAGAAGAAGAAGAAGAGAAAGAGAAAGAGGAAGAGGAAGAGAAGAUG